ensembl:lncRNA
CUGGAGUCUCAUUCAAACGCUGGAGGCCUUGAGCGGAGGAAGUUGCCAUGGAAACGGGGCGACAACACCAACUGACAAACUUCCCUCGCAGCUGUUUUCACUUCUUUCAGAAACCUUUGAAAGGGUCCGUUAGCAUCUCAACUGUUUUCAGGCUAGAUUCUUCUAUGAUGAUGGCAGUUCAGCAGAGUUGGAGCAGACCUCCUCUCGGACAACAUCUCUAAGUGCUAUGAACAAUAUGACUAAUCUGGAGAUCACUUUGGUAGGAUCCAACCCUGUGAGCGAGAGAGAAAACAAGAGAGCGAGAGAACCAGCAAAGCAAGACACACACUAUAUGUCUCAAGACGUAACACAUUUUUAAAAUAUAUUCAAUUAGAAUACAGAGAGUCCCCACAAGGAUAGUAAACCAGACAUGUGUGUGUGUGUGUGUGUGUGUGUGUGUGUGUGUGUGUGUGUGUGUGUGUGUGUGUGUGUGUGUGUGUGUGUGUCUGUGUGUGUCUUUAAUUAAGAAAUGUAAUUCUAUGAAUUACAUCAAUUUAAUUUUGGUGGUGUUUGGUAGAGUCACUUAACACUAAUGUACUAAUCGUAAGUGUGUGCAGUAGUUUACUGGUACUUAAUGUUAUGGAUUUGAACAAAUCCACAAUUCUUAAGUUAUUAUAUACACACACACACACACACACACACACACACACAUAUAAACAACUUUACAAAACCUGUCAAUUUUACAGUUUAAUACUGUUAAAUUGUACAAAAUUGUAAUAAAAUAAAAUAAAUAGAAUAAAUCCAACAGCCAAUAAAUCCUUUUCUGAUAAAUUAGCAUUAGCUAAGCUCUGUAGCUAAACUACCAUAAUAACACCGGUGGUAAAGAGAAAGACACAUGAAGAAUUAAACUUUAUCUCCAAAAGCUUUUCCACAUGCUGAGCUAUACAAAUAUAUAAAAGGUG